rnacentral:lncRNA from 1 species
AUGGUGAUAAGGAAGCUUUGGCUCAGUCACAUUACCUGUCUGUGUAAGCAUUUCAAUUCGCAGCACCUAGAAGCGAUGAAACAUGAACAUGGCUCAUGGAACAUUGUGGCCUACUCAACUCUCAAGCUUUCCUUCUCUUCUUCCAUGCUUAUCCCCAUCAGUCCUCCAUUCAUUCCUCAGAGACAACUGCCAAAAAUCGUUGUUGGAAUCCAUUGUUUGCUCUUACAAAAGAAAACAGACAAAUAUCAGACUGCAGGCUGGAGUGUGUUGGCACGUGGAUGCAGCCUUCCCAUCUGUUUUGCCUCUUCAGUUCAUCAAUUUCCUCUACUUAUGAGCUCGCCCAUCAUUUAGUAAAGUUGUGAAAAAUAGAUAGAACCCAAUCAGAAGGUCACAUGCAAUUUCACAGAUGGUGGCAAAACCAGUCUAGUCCCACGUACAGGAAGAAGACACAAGAACAAUCUCUCACAGGUGGAGUUGGGUCAUUCAUCCAAAGCCUGGGAGAUUCUCAGUCUAAGGUAGGGAGAACACAGAACCAGAAUUGGUUUGAAAACUUAGAUGGUUUUGAAUGAGUACAUUGUAGGAGAGAAAAGACUUCUCAUUCAUUGCAAAGUUCACACCUGAGAUCCCUAUAACAAAGACAUAUUAACAAGAGAAAAUCAUACAAAUUUUAAGUUUUACAUGACACGAGAUUCUUCACAGGAAAUAAAGAACAAGGAAAAAGGUAUAUUUUUAUGGAC